rnacentral:rRNA from 1 species
UACGUAGGGGGCAAGCGUUGUCCGGAUUUAUUGGGCGUAAAGAGCGUGUAGGCGGCCAAGCAGGUCAGCUGUGAAACUCGAGGCUCAACCUCGAGACGUCGGUUGAAACCGCUUGGCUAGAGUCCGGAAGAGGAGAGUGGAAUUCCCGGUGUAGCGGUGAAAUGCGCAGAUAUCGGGAAGAACACCCGUGGCGAAGGCGGCUCUCUGGGACGGUACUGACGCUGAGACGCGAAAGCGUGGGGAGCGAACAGG